AUACGUAGGUGGCAAGCGUUGUCCGGAAUUAUUGGGCGUAAAGCGCAUGUAGGCGGUUUGGUAAGUCGGUCGUGAAAAUGCGGUGCUUAACGCCGUAUGGCGUUUGAAACUGCUGAACUUGAGUGCAGGAGGGGAAAGGGGAACUCCCAGUGUAGGGGUUGAAUGCGUAGAUAUUGGGAAGAACACCGGUGGCGAAGGCGCCUUUCUGGACUGUGUCUGACGCUCAGAUGCGAAAGCCAGGGUAGCGAACGGGAUUAGAUACCCCGGUAGUCCUGGCCGUAAACGAUGGGUACUAGGUGUGGGAGGUAUCGACUCCUUCCGUGCCGGAGUUAACGCAAUAAGUACCCCGCCUGGGGAGUACGGCCGCAAGGCUUAAACUCAAAGGAAUUGACGGGG
rnacentral:rRNA from 1 species